UGCGUAGGCGGCCCGGUAAGUUGGGUGUGAAAUCCCUCGGCUCAACCGAGGAAUUGCGCCCAAAACUGCCGGGCUCGAGGGAGAUAGAGGUGAGCGGAACUUAGGGUGGAGCGGUGAAAUGCGUUGAUAUCCUAAGGAACACCGGUGGCGAAAGCGGCUCACUGGGUCUUUUCUGACGCUGAGGCACGAAAGCUAGGGGAGCGAACGGGAUUAGAUACCCCGGUAGUCCUAGCCGUAAACGAUGAGCACUAGAUCGGAGGGUCCCCUAUAGCCCUCUGGUCGUAGCGAAAGUGUUAAGUGCUCCGCCUGGGGAGUAUGGUCGCAAGGCUGAA
rnacentral:rRNA from 1 species